UACGAACUGUGCAAACGUUAUUCGGAUUCACUGGCUUAAAGGGUGCGUAGGCGGCUUGCCAAGUAGGGUGUGAAAGCCCCCGGCUUAACCGGGGAAUUGCGCCCUAAACUGGCGAGCUGGAGUGAGAUAGGGGUGUGUGGAACUUCCGGUGGAGCGGUGAAAUGUGUUGAUAUCGGAAGGAACGCCGGUGGCGAAAGCGACACACUGGGUCUCAACUGACGCUGAGGCACGAAAGCCAGGGGAGCGAACGGG
rnacentral:rRNA from 1 species